CCUACGGGGGGCUGCAGUGGGGAAUCUUGCGCAAUGGGCGAAAGCCUGACGCAGCGACGCCGCGUGGGGGAGGAAGCUCUUCGGAGUGUAAACCCCUGUCAGAGGGGAAGAAUGGUCCCGGGAGGAAAUGCCUGGGAUUUGACGGUACCCUCAGAGGAAGCACCGGCUAACUCUGUGCCAGCAGCCGCGGUAAUACAGAGGGUGCGAGCGUUGUUCGGAAUUACUGGGCGUAAAGCGCGCGCAGGCGGCCUUUUAAGUCUACCCGUGAAAUGCCG
rnacentral:rRNA from 1 species